UGGGGGAUAUUGCACAAUGGGCGAAAGCCUGAUGCAGCGACGCCGCGUGGGGGAUGAAGGUUUUCGGGUUGUAAACCUCUUUCGCUAUCGAACAAGGCCCGCUUAGGGUGGGUUGAGGGUAGGUGGAGAAGAAGCGCCGGCUAACUACGUGCCAGCAGCCGCGGUAAUACGUAGGGCGCGAGCGUUGUCCGGAAUUAUUGGGCGUAAAGGGCUUGUAGGCGGCUUGUUGCGCCUGCUGUGAAAACGCGGGGCUUAACUUCGCGCGUGCAGUGGGUACGGGCAGGCUUGAGUGUGGUAGGGGUGACUGGAAUUCCAGGUGUAGCGGUGGAAUGCGCAGAUAUCUGGAGGAACACCGAUGGCGAAGGCAGGUCACUGGGCCAUUACUGACGCUGAGGAGCGAAAGCAUGGGUAGCGAACAGG
rnacentral:rRNA from 1 species